GUGCUUACAUCGGCAGCACAUAUACUAAAAUUGGAAGGAUACAGAGAAGAUGAGUGUGACCCCUGCACAAGGAUGACAUGCAAAUUUAUGAAGUGUUCCAUAUUUUU
rnacentral:snRNA from 1 species